rnacentral:rRNA from 1 species
UACGGAGGGUGCAAGCAUUAAUCGGAAUUAUUGGGCGUAAAGGGCGCGUAGGCUGGAAGAUAAGUCAGUUGUGAAAUCCCGGGGCUCAACCUCGGAACAGCAAGUGAAACUAUCUACCUAGAGGCUAGAUGGAGAAAACGGAAUUCCACAAGUAGCGGUGAAAUGCGUAGAUAUGUGGAAGAACACCGGUGGCGAAGGCGGUUUUCUAAUUUAGACCUGACGCUGAGGCGCGAAAGCAAGGGGAUCAAAC